GAACCGGCUACUUCUUUAGCUCACGACGCCUUUGCCCCUCGAAUUGGCCUCCACGUGCGUCGAAUCUAUCCAAAAUCAGAACGAAUAUGUCAUAAUAUGAUAAGGGAACAAAGCCCAAUCAAAACAAUCGAAAAAUACCAAAAUUCUCGAAAUUAGCAAAAACCCGAGCAAAAUACUACUCCACAAUGCCUUUUCCUCUCAAAUCGACAUCCGAAUGCCUCGAAUCUAGCCACAAUAAUUCGAUUCAAUCAAUAAAAAUUAUAGGAAUUAAUUCCAUAUGGAAUUCUACACUUUCAUUAAAAAUCCGAAAUUGCACUCAAAAUUCGCCCGUGGGGGCCUGCGUCUCGGAAUCCGGCGAAACUUAUAAAAUCCGACUACCCAUUCCGAUACGAGUUCAACCAUACCAAAAUUAUCAAAUUCCGACAAUAACUCGACCUCCAAAUCUUAAUUUUUCAUUUUUGGAAGAUUUUCUUCCAUUUAAAUCCGAAUUAAAUGAUGAAAAUAACCAUGGAUUUAUGUAAUAUAAACAAUUUCGAGUAUAUGACACUUACUUGAGUUGAAAUCGUGAAGAACACCUCAAAAUCGCCCAAGAACCGAGCUCCAAA
rnacentral:lncRNA from 1 species